rnacentral:rRNA from 1 species
UACGGGGGGAGCAAGCGUUGUUCGGAUUUACUGGGCGUAAAGGGCGCGUAGGCGGCCACCGCAAGUCAAUUGUGAAAUCUCCGCGCUCAACGCGGAGGGGUCAGCUGAAACUGCUGUGACUUGAGUCUGGUAGGGGAGUGUGGAAUUCCCGGUGUAGCGGUGAAAUGCGCAGAUAUCGGGAGGAACACCAGUGGCGAAGGCGGCACUCUGGGCCAGUACUGACACUGAGGAGCGAAAGCGUGGGGAGCGAACAGG